rnacentral:tRNA from 1 species
GCGGGAGUGGCGGAACUGGCAGACGCGCAGGAUUUAGGUUCCUGUGCCUUCGGGCGUGGGGGUUCAAGUCCCCCCUUCCGCA